rnacentral:rRNA from 1 species
GUACCGUGAGGGAAAGGUGAAAAGCACCCCGACGAGGGGAGUGAAACAGACCCUGAAACCGGACGCCUACAAGCAGUCGGAGCCGCCUUGCGCGGUGACGGCGUACCUUUUGUAUAAUGGGUCAGCGACUUAUGUUCAGUGGCGAGGUUAACCGUUUAGGGGAGCCGUAGGGAAACCGAGUCUGAAUAGGGCGAUUUAGUCGCUGGGCAUAGACCCGAAACCGGGCGAUCUAUCCAUGAGCAGGUUGAAGGUGCCGUAACAGGCACUGGAGGACCGAACCCACUGUCGUUGAAAAGCCAGGGGAUGACUUGUGGAUCGGAGUGAAAGGCUAAUCAAGCCCGGAGAUAGCUGGUUCUCCCCGAAAGCUAUUUAGGUAGCGCCUCGGACGAAUACCACAGGGGGUAGAGCACUGUUUCGGCUAGGGGGUCAUCCCGACUUACCAACCCGAUGCAAACUCCGAAUACCUGUGAGUACUAUCCGGGAGACACACGGCGGGUGCUAACGUCCGUCGUGAAGAGGGAAACAACCCAGACCGCCAGCUAAGGUCCCCAAGUACCAGUUAAGUGGGAAACGAUGUGGGAAGGCUCAGACAGCUAGGAGGUUGGCUUAGAAGCAGCCAUCCUUUAAAGAAAGCGUAACAGCUCACUGGUCAAGCGCUCCUGCGCGGAAAAUGUAACGGGGCUUAAGUGAUACACCGAAGCUGCGGACUCGAAAGAGUGGUAGCGGAGCGUUCUGUAAGUCUGUGAAGGUGGCCUGCGAGGGCUGCUGGAGAUAUCAGAAGUGAGAAUGCUGACAUGAGUAGCGAUAAAGAGGGUGAGAGGCCCUCUCGCCGAAAGUCCAAGGGUUCCUGCGCAAUGCUAAUCAGCGCAGGGUAAGCCGGCCCCUAAGGCGAGGCCGAAAGGCGUAGUCGAUGGGAACCAGGUUAAUAUUCCUGGGCCAGCGGGUAGUGACGGAUUGCGGACGUUGUACACUCUUACUGGAUUGAGUGUGCAGCCAAGCCGUCCCUGGAAAUAGCUCCCGCAUUAGACCGUACCCCAAACCGACACAGGUGGUCAGGUAGAGAAUACCAAGGCGCUUGAGAGAACUCGGGUAAAGGAACUAGGCAAAAUGGUGCCGUAACUUCGGGAGAAGGCACGCUGGUGGUAGGUGAGACCCCUUGCGGGUGGAGCUGACGCCAGUCGAAGAUACCAGGCCCCUGCGACUGUUUAUUAAAAACACAGCACUGUGCAAACACGAAAGUGGACGUAUACGGUGUGACGCCUGCCCGGUGCCGGAAGGUUAAUUGAUGGGGUUAGCUUCGGCGAAGCUCUUGAUCGAAGCCCCGGUAAACGGCGGCCGUAACAAUAACGGUCCUAAGGUAGCGAAAUUCCUUGUCGGGUAAGUUCCGACCUGCACGAAUGGCGUAACGAUGGGGGCGCUGUCUCUACCCGAGACUCAGUGAAAUUGAAAUCGCAGUGAAGAUGCUGUGUACCCGCACCUAGACGGAAAGACCCCGUGAAC